UUUUUUUUUUUUUAAAUAAAUAUAUAUGUCAAUGUUAUACAUUUAAAAAAUACGAACAGUUGUUUUAUUAAGAGUCAUGCGUUAUUAACAAUUUUUUUAAUUUUUUUGUAAUUUAAUUUUUUUUUUUUUUUUAUGCAAAAUAAAAAAGGCUGCGCGUAGGCACAACUGCGCAUGGAAAUAUGCAGUCAUUACGAAAACACAAAAUAACUUAAAGUUGCAAUUUUUUUUUUUUUUUUUUUCUCUUUUUUCAUGGAUGUUGUUCUUAUUUAUAAAAAUAAAUAGAAAUAAUAUGCUAUAAAUACGUGGAAUGUGAUAUAUGUACAUAUAAUACUUUCAUAUAUAUAUAUAUAUAUAUAUAUUUUUUUUUUUUUUUUUUUAUUUCGCCAAGAGAAAAUAUUUACGUUGGGAUAUACAUAUUUAUGCACAUGUAUUGAUAAAUAGAUAGGUAUUAUUAUACCAAAACCGAGUUAAUAUACAUACAGAUACAUAAUAAUGUAUAUAUAUUACAGACUGUUCAGCGAACGCUCCAUGUGGAGACUGUUGGAAUUAGAAAGAAAUGAAAACUACAUUUUAGCAAACGAAUUAAAAAUAAUAAUUAGUAAACAAAGUAAUAUACAAUAUCAUAAUAAAAUCGAUAUAUUUUUUACAAUAUAUAAAGAUGAAGAUAAUAAUACAAAUAAUAGUUCAUCAGACAAUUUGAAAAAAGAAGUAGAAUAUUUAAAUGGAUAUGAUAAAAUAUAUAAUGGAAUGAAAAUAGUUGUACAUAGAGAUGUUAAAAAAAAAAAUAUAAUAAGUGAUAUAACACAUAAAGCAAAAAAAGAAAUAAUAAUUAAUGAUGUUGAAGAAAAGCAAAAAAUAAAUAUACCAAACGAAUUUUUAUGUAAAUUAUGUAAUUAUACAUUAAAAGAAUCUUAUAUUAUUGUUUGUUACAAUAAUUGUGGUUAUUCUGUAUGUAAAAAAUGUAUUCUUUUUUUUAUUUUUACUAGUAUAAUUAAAGAAAAUGAAGAAAAACAAAAGUAUGUUGAUACAAAUUUGUUAAAAACGAAUGAUAUAAAAUGUCCAAUUUGUAGUGGUAUCUUAAAAUAUUGUAUACCUAAUAAAAAAAUGGAUUUAACAUUAAAAAAAAUACAAAAGGAUAGAAAUGAUAUGAGUUCUAUUUAUUUUAUGGAAGAAGAAAAAAAUGCAAAAUUUAUAACUACAAUACAAAAUUUAAAACUUCAAAAUUUUGAUAAAAAAAUAUUUUCUCUUGAUAGUAACAAAAAUAAUACUACACAUAUUGAUACAGAUUUUAAUACGAGUAUAUGUGACAAUAAUGACAAUAACAUUACUAACACAGUAGGUAGUAACAAGAAUAAUGUUAGUGGUAACAAGAAUAAUAAACGUAUGGUUAAAAAAAUGUUUGAACAUGCUUUUUUAAAAAUGAUUGAAGAAAAAUAUAUUUAUAAUAUAUAUAGUAGUAAUAAUAUAAUAAAAGAACAACAAAUAUUAAUGAAUAAUAUGAAAAAUAAUUCUGAUAAUGAUUCAGAUGAUAAUAACAAAUCGAAACAAAUAAAAAUACCAAAUCAUUUUAUUUAUUUAUUAGAAAGUCAUAAAUUAAAUUGUUUAAAAGAAUAUAAACUAAUUUAUGUUACACAUAAAAGUUGUAUAUUCGAUGGAAUACAAAAAAUGAAAUUAAAAUGUAUUUAUGAACAAUUAAAAUUAGAUGAAAAUAAACAAAAUAAUAAAGAAAAGGAAGGAGAAAAGGGAGAAGAAAGGGGGGGAGAAAAGCGAGAAGGAAAGGGAGGAGAAAAAGAAGGAGAAAAGGAAGAAGAAAAGAUGAUGAAAAAGGAAGUGGAAAAUGAAACUAUUAACUCGGAUAGUAAGAACUGUAAUAUACAACCUGAUGUUAUUAAAGAUUAUAAUUAUAUCUCUGAUGAAUUAAAUUUGGAAAACUCAAAUGAUAAAAAUAACACUAAUGUGAAUGUUGAAAAUGUUACAUUUACCAAAGAUAAUAUGUAUAACACAAGUAACAAUAGCAUAAACAGUAGCAAUAAUAACAUCAGUAGCAGUAAAUGUAACGAAAUUAUUGACAACAAUCAUUUGCAUUCAAAUAAUGAACAUAUAAGUUUAAAUAAAGAAAAGGAUGUUACUCACCCUAUUAAUAAAUUAAAAAAUAAUUUUAAUAAAGUUGUAGUUAAAAAUGAAUCAAACAAUGAUAUAAAAAGUGAAAUAUUAAAUUCAACAUAUUCUACUUAUACUGAUAAAACAAAUUUAUUAACGAAAAAAAAGGAAAAUAUAAAAAAAUAUGUUAUGUCUGAUAAAUAUGAUGAUAAUAGAACAACCGACAUUACCAUUAUCCCUACCACUACAAUUCAUAAUAAUAAUAAUACCUCUUCCAUUAUUGAAAAACAAAAAAAAGAAAUAUCGGAUGAACAAUACACAGAGGAAAAUAUGUACGAUCAAAACAAAAUAUAUAUCAUGCCUAUUUCUUCUGUUGGUGGAGAAACAUCUUAUUCUUUAAUUGGAGUAGUAUAUGUAACAGAACCAUUAACUCUAAUCGAUAGUGAAUUUAAUAAAAAAAUUACAGAAACAAUAAAUAAUAAUAAUAAUAAUAAUAAUAAUAAUAAUAAUGUACAAGAUGCAUUAUAUAUUUCAGAUAAUAAAAAACAAUUGUUAUAUAAUUUUUUAAGUAAAUGGUUUAUUAAUGAAAAAAAUAAUGAACAAGUAAUAAUUAACAAGUUAAAAUAUGGAAGUGUAUAUAAAAUAACAUAUAUAUGUGAGUAUGAAAAUUCCUGUUUUUUUCCUGCUAGAAAACAACCAUUAUAUGGUAUUAUAAAUAAUAAAAUAAAUAAAAGUAUAGAUAAAAAAAAUAUAGAAAUUGUUAUAGAUUCUAAUAAAUUUAAAGAAGUAGUAUUUGCUGUUGAUAGUUAUAGAAAAUAUGGUAGUAGACCUAACAAUAUAGAUAGUAAAAAAGGGUCACCUUUUACUACACCUUUUAUCAGUGGAACUACUACAUCUGUCAUUAGUAGUACUACUACAUCUGUCAUUAAUGCUUCUGCUUUUUCUUAUACUGUCGCACAAAAUGAACAAAGUAACACAUAUUUUAUGGCAAUGGAUAAAUCAAAACAACUAUAUGAAAACAUGUAUAUAAAACAAAAUGAACAAGUUACUAUUGUUUCUACUGAUAAUCAAACAUUUACUACACUACCCAAUAAUAUGAAUCAAACUAAAAAUAAAAUAAUAACGAUAGAUCAACCUCAAUUAUUAAAAAUAUAUGAUAUGUUAUAUGAUACUAAAAUUAUACCUAUAUCUAUUAAUAAUAACUUUAACAUUAGUAACCCAUAUGUUGGUUAUUGUGCUUUAUUGCCAUUUUUAACAAAAAGUGAUUUUCUUUUUAUACGAGAUUUACAAAGAAUAUAUAAAGAAAAAUAUUUAAAAGAUUUAUAUUAUCAUGUCAUAAAUAACAAUCUAACUAUGGACAUUUUUUUUAAUGCAGUUAAUGCAAUCUUUUUUUCGUAAAAGCAUAAGUGAUGGGUAUGUGGUACAUAUGUAUACGUACAUAUAAUGUAUAUAUGUAUGUGAAAUGUUGGUACGAGUUUGUUUAGUCUCGCACACACACAUACAUAUAUAUACAUAUAUAUAUGUAUACCCAUGUAUUCACUUACGUUAGCGCUAUGCACUUAGUGGAUCAUUGUGUGCGAGUAUUAGCAUUGCCUAUUAACAUGCACAGUUUAUUUUUUGAUUUAUCUAUUUAUUUAUUUAUUUAUUUUAUUUUAUUUUAUUUUAAUUUUUUUUUUUUUUUU
rnacentral:lncRNA from 1 species